rnacentral:rRNA from 1 species
CCCGGGGGAGAUGCCUUAGUAGCGGCGAGUGAGCGGCAAAGCUCAAAUUUGAAAUCUGGCACUUUCAGUGUCCGAGUUGUAAUUUGAAGAAGGUAUCUUUGGGUCUGGCUCUUGUCUAUGUUUCUUGGAACAGAACGUCACAGAGGGUGAGAAUCCCGUGCGAUGAGAUGUCCCAGACCUAUGUAAAGUUCCUUCGAAGAGUCGAGUUGUUUGGGAAUGCAGCUCUAAGUGGGUGGUAAAUUCCAUCUAAAGCUAAAUAUUGGCGAGAGACCGAUAGCGAACAAGUACAGUGAUGGAAAGAUGAAAAGAACUUUGAAAAGAGAGUGAAAAAGUACGUGAAAUUGUUGAAAGGGAAGGGCUUGAGAUCAGACUUGGUAUUUUGUAUGUUACUCUCUCGGGGGUGGCCUCUACAGUUUACCGGGCCAGCAUCAGUUUGAGCGGUAGGAUAAGUGCAAAGAAAUGUGGCACUGCUUCGGUAGUGUGUUAUAGUCUUUGUCGAUACUGCCAGCUUAGACUGAGGACUGCGGCUUCGGCCUAGGAUGUUGGCAUAAUGAUCUUAAGUCGCCCGUCUUGAAACACGGACC